AGGUUAAGUUAACAAGGGCGCAUGGUGAAUGCCUUGGCACUAGGAGCCGAUGAAGGACGGGACUAACACCGAUAUGCUUCGGGGAGCUGUACGUAAGCUAUGAUCCGGAGAUUUCCGAAUGGGGCAACCCAGCAGUUUUAAUCAACUGUUACCACUAGAUGAAUUCAUAGUCUAGUUGGAGGUAAACGCUGUGAACUGAAACAUCUCAUUAGCAGCAGGAAUAUAAAGAAAUUUCGAUUCCCUAAGUAGCGGCGAGCGAACGGGGAACAGCCCAAACCAAAGUGCUUGCACUUUGGGGUUGUAGGACUGAACAUUUGAGUUACCAAAGAACUUGAUAGUCGAAGGAUUUGGGAAAAUCCGCCAUAGAUGGUGAUAGCCCAGUAGAUUAAAUCAAAUUCUCUCAGUUCAGGAUCCUGAGUACGGCGGAACACGUGAAAUUCCGUCGGAAUCCGGGAGGACCAUCUCCCAAGGCUAAAUACUACCUAGUGACCGAUAGUGAACCAGUACCGUGAGGGAAAGGUGAAAAGCACCCCGGGAGGGGAGUGAAAUAGUUCCUGAAACCAUGUGCCUACAAUAAGUCAGAGCGCGUUAAUGCGUGAUGGCGUGCCUUUUGUAGAAUGAACCGGCGAGUUAUGAUCCCGUGCAAGGUUAAGACUAAAAAGUCGGAGCCGUAGCGAAAGCGAGUCUGAAAUGGGCGAUUUGAGUACGAGGUUAUAGACCCGAAACCAGGUGACCUAUCCAUGUCCAGGUUGAAGGUGCGGUAAAACGCACUGGAGGACCGAACCCGUGUAAGUUGAAAAUUGCUGGGAUGAGGUGUGGAUAGCGGUGAAAUUCCAAACGAACUUGGAGAUAGCUGGUUCUCUCCGAAAUAGCUUUAGGGCUAGCCUCGGAUUAAGGAUCAUGGAGGUAGAGCACUAUUUGGACUAGGGGCCCGUCUUGGGUUACUGAAUUCAGAUAAACUCCGAAUGCCAUUGAUUCAUGUCCGGGAGUCAGACGAUGAGUGAUAAGAUCCACCGUCGAAAGGGGAACAGCCCAGACCAUCAGUUAAGGUCCCUAAAUGUAUGCUAAGUGGAAAAGGAUGUGGAGUUGCAUAGACAACUAGGAUGUUGGCUCAGAAGCAGCCACCAUUUAAAGAGUGCGUAAUAGCUCACUAGUCGAGUGAUCCUGCGCCGAAAAUGUACCGGGGCUAAGCAUACUACCGAAACCAUGGAUGCGACCAUUAGGUCGCGUGAUAGGAGAGCGUUCUAAGGGCGGUGAAGCAAGAUCGUGAGGACUUGUGGAGCGCUUAGAAGUGAGAAUGCCGGUAUGAGUAGCGAAAGAUAGGUGAGAAUCCUAUCCACCGAAUGACUAAGGUUUCCUGGGGAAGGCUCGUCCUCCCAGGGUUAGUCGGGACCUAAGUCGAGGCCGAGAGGCGUAGACGAUGGAUAACAGGUUGAGAUUCCUGUACUAGUUAAGUGCGUUUGAGCAAUGGAGGGACGCAGGAGGCUAAGAUGUGCAUUCUGUUGGAUUAGAAUGUCCAAGCAGUAAGUCUUGUGGAGAGUCAAAUGCUUUUCACUUUAAGGACAAGCUGUGAUGGGGAGCGAAAUUUAGUAGCGAAGCGUCUGAUGUCACACUGCCGAGAAAAGCUUCUAGUGAGUACUUAACUACCCGUACCGCAAACCGACACAGGUAGUCGAGGAGAGAAUCCUAAGGUGAGCGAGUGAACUCUCGUUAAGGAACUCGGCAAAAUGACCCCGUAACUUCGGGAGAAGGGGUGCUGAUCGCAAGAUCAGCCGCAGUGAAUAGGCCCAGGCGACUGUUUAUCAAAAACACAGGUCUCUGCAAAAUCGUAAGAUGACGUAUAGGGGCUGACGCCUGCCCGGUGCUGGAAGGUUAAAAGGAUGGGUUAGCUUCGGCGAAGCUCAGAAUUGAAGCCCCAGUAAACGGCGGCCGUAACUAUAACGGUCCUAAGGUAGCGAAAUUCCUUGUCGGGUAAGUUCCGACCCGCACGAAAGGCGUAACGAUCUGGGCACUGUCUCAACGAGAGACUCGGUGAAAUUAUAUUGUCCGUGAAGAUGCGGACUACCCGCGACAGGACGGAAAGACCCCAUGGAGCUUUACUGUAGCUUGAUAUUGAGUGUUUGUACAGCUUGUACAGGAUAGGUAGGAGCCAUAGAAACCGGAACGCUAGUUUCGGUGGAGGCGUUGGUGGGAUACUACCCUCGCUGUAUGACCACUCUAACCCGCACCACUAAUCGUGGUGGGAGACAGUGUCAGGUGGGCAGUUUGACUGGGGCGGUCGCCUCCUAAAAAGUAACGGAGGCGCCCAAAGGUUCCCUCAGAAUGGUUGGAAAUCAUUCGCAGAGUGUAAAGGCACAAGGGAGCUUGACUGCGAGACAGACAGGUCGAGCAGGGACGAAAGUCGGGCUUAGUGAUCCGGUGGUACCGUAUGGAAGGGCCAUCGCUCAACGGAUAAAAGCUACCCUGGGGAUAACAGGCUUAUCUCCCCCAAGAGUCCACAUCGACGGGGAGGUUUGGCACCUCGAUGUCGGCUCAUCGCAUCCUGGGGCUGUAGUCGGUCCCAAGGGUUGGGCUGUUCGCCCAUUAAAGCGGUACGCGAGCUGGGUUCAGAACGUCGUGAGACAGUUCGGUCCCUAUCCGUCGCGGGCGUAGGAAAUUUGAGAGGACCUGUCCUUAGUACGAGAGGACCGGGAUGGACAUACCUCUGGUGUACCAGUUGUGCCGCCAGGCGCAUCGCUGGGUAGCUACGUAUGGAUGUGAUAAACGCUGAAAGCAUCUAAGUGUGAAACACACCUCGAGAUGAGAUUUCCCAUUCCUUUAUGGAAGUAAGACCCUGAAAGAUGAUCAGGUAGAUAGGUUAGAAGUGGCAGUGCGGUGACGCAUGAAGCGGACUAAUACUAAUCGGUCGAGGACUUAACCAAG
rnacentral:rRNA from 2 species